CUCCUCCUUCGUUGAGAGGGUUUGGUUCGCAGAGACAAAGCCCUGGCUUCAGUUUGUUUCCAACCAGCUGGUUGGGGGGUAGCCAUGGGAGAACAGUGUUCGUUGCUGGACAUGCGUUGGAGGCCGUCGAUUUUUGUUUGGGAGGUGAGCUGCAAAUCCAGCCGCAGCUGUGGAAUCGGGAGAUUUCAUUUUUUCUGCAUCCUUCGACUCAGGCUUCCAUCUUUCCUGCUUGCCAAUAUUUGCAUCGUUUGUCUUCAGUUUCCACCAGUACCAGGUUGUUUGGAGGAAGCUUCCUACGGGAUUUUAUGAGCUCCCCAAGAUUUACGGAAUGAAGCUCUGGGCAUAAUCGUUCAGCUCAGCCUUUGUGAUCCCAAAUCUUCAUCGGUGAAUUUUGCAUUAGACUUAAUAUUGUGUUGCUAGGGACUGGAAUGGUUACGCAGGAUACAUCUUCUUCAGUGUUUCUAUUCUUUGACAAGCAAAGAUUUAUAUUUAAUGUUGUGGAGAGGUGGUCUUUCGUUGCUUUGGAUAGAGCGGUUUGGUUGGUGCUUUCAGUUCUGUUAAGUAAGGGGUUUAGAUGAUUGCAAUAUUUGAACAUGUUGGUAAACCCUUUGAGUGUUUUGGCAAUUGGGUAGUUGAGAUGUUCUCUACCCCAAAAAUAGAGGUCAAGACCUCCAUCAAAGAGAAAAAAAAUCAUGAAGAAAGUGCAAAACAAAGCUCGCCCAAUUAAAUAGCAUGAUGUACAAAACUAUCCAAAUUUUGCUAUUUUGAUGCCUACUUCCUACUAUAAACAUCUCAAUGUAUAUAAAAAUAAGUGUAGUACUUUAACAUAACAAGUAGCCUGUAAAAUAUGUUAUUACAUGCUUUUUUCCAACUUACACUCCUUUAUAAUAUUAUAAAUUAAAUCUCAUUAUAUAUAUAAACAGUCUAACUUUGUCUA